GGAACGCUAGCUACAGGCUUAACACAUGCAAGUCGACGUGCAGCAUCAUCAAAGCUUGCUUUGAUGGAUGGCGACCGGCGCACGGGUGAGUAACACGUAUCCAACCUGCCGACAACACUGGGAUAGCCUUUCGAAAGAAAGAUUAAUACCGGAUGGCAUAGUUUUCCCGCAUGGGAUAAUUAUUAAAGAAUUUCGGUUGUCGAUGGGGAUGCGUUCCAUUAGGCAGUUGGCGGGGUAACGGCCCACCAAACCAACGAUGGAUAGGGGUUCUGAGAGGAAGGUCCCCCACAUUGGAACUGAGACACGGUCCAAACUCCUACGGGAGGCAGCAGUGAGGAAUAUUGGUCAAUGGACGAGAGUCUGAACCAGCCAAGUAGCGUGAAGGAUGACUGCCCUAUGGGUUGUAAACUUCUUUUAUACGGGAAUAAAGUGAGCCACGUGUGGCUUUUUGUAUGUACCGUAUGAAUAAGGAUCGGCUAACUCCGUGCCAGCAGCCGCGGUAAUACGGAGGAUCCGAGCGUUAUCCGGAUUUAUUGGGUUUAAAGGGAGCGUAGGCGGGUUGUUAAGUCAGUUGUGAAAGUUUGCGGCUCAACCGUAAAAUUGCAGUUGAUACUGGCGACCUUGAGUGCAACAGAGGUAGGCGGAAUUCGUGGUGUAGCGGUGAAAUGCUUAGAUAUCACGAAGAACUCCGAUUGCGAAGGCAGCUUACUGGAUUGUAACUGACGCUGAUGCUCGAAAGUGUGGGUAUCAAACAGGAUUAGAUACCCUGGUAGUCCACACAGUAAACGAUGAAUACUCGCUGUUGGCGAUAUACAGUCAGCGGCCAAGCGAAAGCAUUAAGUAUUCCACCUGGGGAGUACGCCGGCAACGGUGAAACUCAAAGGAAUUGACGGGGGCCCGCACAAGCGGAGGAACAUGUGGUUUAAUUCGAUGAUACGCGAGGAACCUUACCCGGGCUUAAAUUGCAACUGACUGAACCGGAAACGGUUCUUUCUUCGGACAGUUGUGAAGGUGCUGCAUGGUUGUCGUCAGCUCGUGCCGUGAGGUGUCGGCUUAAGUGCCAUAACGAGCGCAACCCUUACGGGUAGUUACCAUCAGGUUAUGCUGGGGACUCUACCCGGACUGCCGUCGUAAGAUGUGAGGAAGGUGGGGAUGACGUCAAAUCAGCACGGCCCUUACGUCCGGGGCUACACACGUGUUACAAUGGGGGGUACAGAAGGCAGCUACACGGCGACGUGGUGCUAAUCCCGAAAGCCUCUCUCAGUUCGGAUUGGAGUCUGCAACCCGACUCCAUGAAGCUGGAUUCGCUAGUAAUCGCGCAUCAGCCACGGCGCGGUGAAUACGUUCCCGGGCCUUGUACACACCGCCCGUCAAGCCAUGAAAGCCGGGGGUACCUAAAGUACGUAACCGCGAGGAGCGUCCUA
rnacentral:rRNA from 1 species